AGACUUGAACUCAAGGUAAAUAGGGUGAAUACUUGGUCUUCUCAGUUUAAUCUUGACCCCUCUAGCCAAACUUAUAUUAGGUGAACACAUGUUUUUCCGAAGAAUUUGUGGAAUCUCCCAUUCACCCCGUUCGAUACCUGAUCCUACAAUCACGAAAUAGGCUUUCGGCCCAUUUUAUAUAAAGCAACGCAAGGUUUUACAUGAACCAUACACCAAAUAGCAUGGUCUGCUGGAAAUCGACUACAA